GAUUUCUGGUUCGGCGCACUUGGCCCGUCUCGGUUUACGGGAUUGUGUGCCGGUGUGCGCCAUCCAUCCUUCGAGAGAACACUUCUACCCUUCACUGGGUCGGGAGUGCUAUCUCGAUCUUUUACUUUGAAAAAAUUAGAGUGUUUAAAGCAGGCUUGCGCUAUGAAUACAUUAGCAUGGAAUAAUAAUUUAGGACUUCGGUUCUAUUUUGUUGGUUUCUAGGACUGAAGUAAUGAUUGAUAGGGAUAGUUGGGGGUGCUAGUAUUCAGCGGCCAGAGGUGAAAUUCUCGGAUUCGCUGAAGACUAACUUAUGCGAAAGCAUU
rnacentral:rRNA from 2 species